UCCAGUAGCUGGAUGGUCCCUGUCAGGUUAACUCUGUAAUAAUCCAGAGGCUUCUGCACCCGCUCGCCCACAGCCUUGAGCCCCGGCAAAGUGGAUGACAGCCUUAAAGCUGUGCUGCAGAGGCAAAGUAGGGGUCAGAGGCAGCUUCGCCAGCUCUACUCUUGCCAAAGGCCCUACCUGCUGGCACCUACCUUCUUGAAGAGAUGCUGUAGGGCCUCCUUGUCCAAGAUGUCCAUCUCCUCAAACUCCACAGAGCAGCCUGUUAGCUCCUGCACCGCCCCGCAGGCUCUCAGGCAUAGAGCCCCUGCCUGGCAGGGCCACGGAUGGCAUUAUGGAAGUUGUGCGAUGACCAUGGGUGAGUAGCCUGCCUCCAGCAGCUCCAGCACUGUGUGGCUGCCGUGUAGCCAGCCCCACCGGUUACUAGCACCUUCUCUGCCAUCGAACCUGGCCCAGGACACAGAGUCACAGAAGUGGCUGUGGGUGCCUGCUCAGGGCCUCUCUAUCCAGCCAGAGUCUGGCUCCCUGAGCUCACCUUGGAGGCAGGGAGCAAUGAGUCCUGGUUAAGAGUAGCUCAAGUCAGCUCUAGUUCAACCCCAGGUACUGGUACUUUCUGGCCUUAGGCUUCAAGGAUCCACCUACUCUCUCCAGGCUGCAGUUUCCGGCCCUGCAAGACGGAGCUAACAAAUGUAUACACACCAUUUAUGCGGCAGUGAAGGUACAGUGAGGUGAUUUAAAGGCCUGCUGUAGGUAGGGGACAGAAGCACCAUAGUUUCUAGUUCCAACAAUUGAGCCAGGGUUGGGAAGAUCUCUAAACACCCACACUUCCCCCUGCCCCCCAAUGUCUGGGAACUGGGUAGUCCUGGGGAUAAGAAGACAUGGCAGCAGGAUUGGGACUCCAGGAUCCCAGGGAGGGUUCAGUUGUUCAGACUCAGACCUCCCUGGUGACCACCCCACCAGGUGCCAACAGGCUCCUGGGGCGCUGGGACUAGGCUGCCCCCUUUCCUCAAGGGUCAGCUGGGAAGAACCAGGAAGCAGGGGGGUCCUCUGCCAGCAGGCCGAGCCCAGCUCCAGGGCUACAGCACCACAGUCAGGUAGUGGGCCCCAGCCCAUCCCGGGCAAGCAGGCUGGCUCUGGCUAAACCCAC
rnacentral:lncRNA from 1 species